rnacentral:rRNA from 1 species
UACGUAGGUGGCAAGCGUUGUCCGGAUUUAUUGGGUUUAAAGGGUGCGUAGGCGGCCCUGUAAGUCAGUGCUGAAAUAUCCCGGCUUAACCGGGAGGGUGGCAUUGAUACUGCGGGGCUAGAGUACCGAUGAGGUAGGCGGAAUUGACGGUGUAGCGGUGAAAUGCUUAGAUAUCGUCAAGAACACCUAUAGCGAAGGCAGCUUACUAAGGAGUAACUGACGCUGAGGCACGAAAGUGUGGGGAUCAAACAGG